GACGAACGCUGGCGGCGUGCUUAACACAUGCAAGUCGAACGGAAAGGCCCUGCUUGCAGGGUACUCGAGUGGCGAACGGGUGAGUAACACGUGGGUGAUCUGCCCUGCACUUCGGGAUAAGCCUGGGAAACUGGGUCUAAUACCGGAUAGGAGCCAUUUUUAGUGUGAUGGUUGGAAAGUUUUUUCGGUGUAGGAUGAGCUCGCGGCCUAUCAGCUUGUUGGUGGGGUAAUGGCCUACCAAGGCGGCGACGGGUAGCCGGCCUGAGAGGGUGGACGGCCACAUUGGGACUGAGAUACGGCCCAGACUCCUACGGGAGGCAGCAGUGGGGAAUAUUGCACAAUGGGCGCAAGCCUGAUGCAGCGACGCCGCGUGCGGGAUGACGGCCUUCGGGUUGUAAACCGCUUUCGCCUGUGACGAAGCGUGAGUGACGGUAAUGGGUAAAGAAGCACCGGCUAACUACGUG
rnacentral:rRNA from 1 species